rnacentral:tRNA from 2 species
GGGCUUGUAGCUCAACUGGUAGAGCUGGGGACUGAAAAUCCCUGCGAGGUGGUUCGACCCCACCCGGGCCCA